CCUACGGGUGGCUGCAGUGGGGAAUAUUGGACAAUGGGCGAAAGCCUGAUCCAGCCAUGCCGCGUGUGCGAAGAAGGCCUUCGGGUUGUAAAGCACUUUCAGUGGGGAAGAAAGCCUUGGGGCUAAUACCCUCGAGGAAGGACAUCACCCACAGAAGAAGCACCGGCUAACUCCGUGCCAGCAGCCGCGGUAAUACGGAGGGUGCGAGCGUUAAUCGGAAUUACUGGGCGUAAAGCGCGCGUAGGCGGUCUGAUAAGCCGGUUGUGAAAGCCCCGGGCUCAACCUGGGAACGGCAUCCGGAACUGUCAGGCUAGAGUGCAGGAGAGGAAGGUAGAAUUCCCGGUGUAGCGGUGAAAUGCGUAGAGAUCGGGAGGAAUACCAGUGGCGAAGGCGGCCUUCUGGACUGACACUGACGCUGAGGUGCGAAAGCGUGGGUAGCAAACAGGAUUAGAUACCCUUGUAGUC
rnacentral:rRNA from 1 species